rnacentral:rRNA from 1 species
GCCCGGUAGCUAAACGCCAUUAAGUACCCCGCCUGGGGAAUUCCGGCCGCCAGGGCUAAAACUCAAAGGAAAUUGGACGGGGGGCCCGCCACAAGGCGGCGGAGCCAUGUGGCUUAAUUCGGACGCAACCGCGAAAGAACCUUUACCCAAGGCUUGACAUACACCGGAAAACCCUGGAGACAGGGUCCCCCUUGUGGUCGGUGUACAGGUGGUGCAUGGCUGUCGUCAGCUCGUGUCGUGAGAUGUUGGGUUAAGUCCCGCAACGAGCGCAACCCUUGUUCUGUGUUGCCAGCAUGCCCUUCGGGGUGAUGGGGACUCACAGGAGACCGCCGGGGUCAACUCGGAGGAAGGUGGGGACGACGUCAAGUCAUCAUGCCCCUUAUGUCUUGGGCUGCACACGUGCUACAAUGGCCGGUACAAUGAGCUGCGAUACCGUGAGGUGGAGCGAAUCUCAAAAAGCCGGUCUCAGUUCGGAUUGGGGUCUGCAACUCGACCCCAUGAAGUCGGAGUCGCUAGUAAUCGCAGAUCAGCAUUGCUGCGGUGAAUACGUUCCCGGGCCUUGUACACACCGCCCGUCACGUCACGAAAGUCGGUAACACCCGAAGCCGGUGGCCCAACCCCUGUGGGAGGGAGCUGUCGAAGGUGGGGCUGG